GGGGCGUUGGCGCAAUGGUAGCGCGUUUGACUCCAGAUCAAAAGGUUGGGUGUUCGACUCACUCACGCCUCA